rnacentral:lncRNA from 1 species
CAGUGUCCAAGCCCCUACAGGUGUCGCCCGCGCUCCCUCCCUCCGCCCGCCUCCCUCCUCCGGCCCCCUCCGCGCGGCACCGGGCGGGGGGUGCCGCGAAACUCCGACCCGAGCCACUUGGACUCGCACAGUGUCCUCGGGGCGCAGGGGCCGAGCGCACGCACUCGCGCAGCUCUGCCUCCGCCAGCCAGUCUCGCCCGCGAUCCCGGCCCGGGGCUGUGGCGUCGGCUCGGACCCAGGCAGCCGGCAGCCCGCGCGGGAGCCGGACCACCGCCGGAGGAGCUCGGCCGGAAUGCUGAGCCCCCUCCUCGGCUGAAGCCCGGGCGAGCGCCGGCUCCGGAGACGAAGGCGGCGGAGGCGCGAGACCGAGCGGGCGAGCGGCGGAGGAGCGGGCGGAGGAGCGGGCGGAGGAGGCGAACCCGGAGAGGGGCCGCGAAAGAAGUGGUGGUGGUGGGCGUCGUGGCCAUGGCGGCGGCUAUCGCCAGCUCGCUCAUCCGGCAGAAGCGACAAGCCCGCGAGCGCGAGAAAUCGAACGCCUGCAAGUGUGUCAGCAGCCCCAGCAAAGGCAAGACCAGCUGCGACAAAAACAAGUUAAACGUCUUUUCCCGGGUCAAACUCUUCGGCUCCAAGAAGAGGCGCAGGAGGAGACCAGAGCCUCAGCUUAAGGGUAUAGUUACCAAACUCUACAGCCGACAAGGUUUCCACUUGCAGCUGCAGGCAGACGGAACCAUUGAUGGCACAAAGGAUGAGGACAGCACUUACACUCUGUUUAACCUCAUCCCCGUGGGCCUUCGAGUGGUGGCUAUUCAGGGAGUUCAAAGCAAGCUGUACUUGGCAAUGAACAGCGAGGGAUACCUGUACACCUCGGAACAUUUCACACCUGAGUGCAAAUUCAAAGAAUCGGUCUUUGAAAAUUAUUACGUGACAUAUUCAUCUAUGAUAUACCGUCAGCAGCAGUCUGGCCGAGGGUGGUAUCUGGGUCUGAACAAAGAAGGAGAGAUCAUGAAAGGAAACCAUGUGAAGAAGAACAAGCCUGCAGCCCACUUUCUGCCCAAACCACUGAAAGUGGCCAUGUACAAGGAGCCUUCGCUUCAUGAUCUCACCGAGUUCUCCCGAUCUGGAAGCGGGACCCCAACCAAGAGCAGAAGCGUCUCCGGCGUGCUGAACGGAGGCAAAUCCAUGAGCCACAACGAAUCAACGUAGCCAGUGAGGGCAAAGCAAGGGCUCUGUAACAGAACCUAACCUCCAGGUGCUGUUGAAUGCUAGCAGUCCUUCACUCAAAAGUUCAAAUUGGUCAAUGACGUUUACCAAACAAACAGGCAGAGUCCACCCUUCUAAUCUGCCGUUAAACCUUCUUCUCCUGCAUAUACUAAAGCCCCACAAUUGACAUGGAGCUUGUGCCAAAAAACAGUGCCAAGCGUUAUCAGUGAACUAAAUCUGGGAGAAGGACUGCCCAAUUUUCUCACGAUCUCACCUAUGCUUUGGGGAAGACGAACCCAAAACCUUUCACAGCAGUAAUGCUGAUACAAAUUCGCGCUCCCACCAAGAAAAUGUAAAAGACCACCAUUGUUCUUCAAAACCAGACAAACAAACAAACAGAAAAAAAAAUUAACUGCUUAAAUGUUUUGUAGGGGCAAACAAAAUGAUGUGACCUGUGUUGGUUUCUUGGCUUCAUGUUUUCCAUCUAUGCUUGAUUCAUACGUAUUCUUUCCUUUGAUAGAGCGCAACUAUAUGAUUUCUGAAAUUCAAUGGUUCUAUUGACUCUGUGUCACUUAAUCCAACUCAACCAAAUUCAGGGUUGAAGCUGAAUUGGCAUCUCAGGCUCAAGGUAACAGUGUUCUUGUGAUUUUACCAAUUUUUUUUCUUUUAGAUUCGUAGGAUUCUGGUCAAGUUCUUGUGCUGUACUUUGUGCGUAGAAAUGGUGUCGUGUUGUCACCCCCUAGUCAGUAAAGAUGACUUAAAAAAAAAGAUUAUCCUCAAGUGUAGCUUUCUCUUAAUUCCAUUUGUGUUAUCAUGUUAAACUAUUGUUGUGGCUUCUUGUGUAAAGACAGGAACUGUGGAACUGUGAUGUUGUCUUUUGUGUUGUUAAAAUAUGAAAUGUCUCAUCUGUAUAUGUAUGAGUUGUCCUGUCAUUGUGUUUGGCACGUGAAUAUUGUGUACAAGGAAAUGUUAGGACUGGUUACCCCUAAACAACAUAUGCUUAUACCUGCUUCUGGAAAAGUGUUUAAGACUUAGCUAGGUUUCCAUUUAGAUCUUCAUAUCUGUUGCAUGGAAGAAAGUUGGAAUCUUGGCAUAGAGUUGCAUGAUAUGUAAGAUUUUGUGCAUUAAUAAUUGUUAAAAUCUGUGUUCCACAAGUGGACAUAGCAUGUACAGGCAGUUUUCUGUCCUGUGCACAAAAAAGUUAAAAAAAAAAGUUGUUUAAUAUUUGUUGUUGUAUACCCAGAUACGCACCGAAUAAACUCUUUAUAUUCAUUCAA